UUCCUCUCAGGGUAAUAUCUGGAGAGUUUCCAGUACUCUACCAGUCUCGGCUACAGAGGGGAGAGUCAAGCAGUGGCAUACCCAUUCCAUUUCUAGCUUGGGCAGUGGCUAGCAAGUGGAAGGCAGUCUGCUACAAGU